rnacentral:rRNA from 1 species
UCAGGAUGAACGCUGGCGGCGUGCCUAAUACAUGCAAGUCGAGCGAAUGGAUUGAGAGCUUGCUCUCAAGAAGUUAGCGGCGGACGGGUGAGUAACACGUGGGUAACCUGCCCAUAAGACUGGGAUAACUCCGGGAAACCGGGGCUAAUACCGGAUAACAUUUUGAACYGCAUGGUUCGAAAUUGAAAGGCGGCUUCGGCUGUCACUUAUGGAUGGACCCGCGUCGCAUUAGCUAGUUGGUGAGGUAACGGCUCACCAAGGCAACGAUGCGUAGCCGACCUGAGAGGGUGAUCGGCCACACUGGGACUGAGACACGGCCCAGACUCCUACGGGAGGCAGCAGUAGGGAAUCUUCCGCAAUGGACGAAAGUCUGACGGAGCAACGCCGCGUGAGUGAUGAAGGCUUUCGGGUCGUAAAACUCUGUUGUUAGGGAAGAACAAGUGCUAGUUGAAUAAGCUGGCACCUUGACGGUACCUAACCAGAAAGCCACGGCUAACUACGUGCCAGCAGCCGCGGUAAUACGUAGGUGGCAAGCGUUAUCCGGAAUUAUUGGGCGUAAAGCGCGCGCAGGUGGUUUCUUAAGUCUGAUGUGAAAGCCCACGGCUCAACCGUGGAGGGUCAUUGGAAACUGGGAGACUUGAGUGCAGAAGAGGAAAGUGGAAUUCCAUGUGUAGCGGUGAAAUGCGUAGAGAUAUGGAGGAACACCAGUGGCGAAGGCGACUUUCUGGUCUGUAAC